GUGUCCCUUCGGCAGCACAGAUACUAAAACUGGAUCGAUACAGAGAAGAUGAGCAUGACCCCUGUGCAGGAUGAUGCAAAUUCAUGAAGCGUUCCACAUUUAA